rnacentral:sRNA from 1 species
GUGAUCUCAAGGCAUAAUUCCACCUGCACACCCCCAGUUGAUCCUUCAAGGCCUCCACUGCCCCAAUGCUGGAUGUAACAAUCCAAGCUCUGGUUGCUGCACUCAUGAUAACUGCUAUGACUUUUUGAUGAAAAAUUGUUACUGCCACAAAGUCAUCAAAGGGCUUAACUUGUGAGCAGGAAAAAGCCUUAGCGAAGCAAUGCUUAGAUUAUCUAACCAAGAAAAGUGAUGCCCCUUCAACUUCUUACUGCUAUGGGAUGAAACAAAUCAUAUUUUCAUCACCUAUGAAGGAAGAAAAACGUGCUGCUUGUAAGUGUCUAAAGGAAUCAGGCUCUCAGGUUCCUAACCUAGAUAAAGACAGAGACAAUAAUCUUUGCAAAGAGUGCAAAAUCAUGUCCAAUGACUUGAAUUGUCAAAAACUUGAUUAAGCUAGGAACUGUGGAUUAUGCUGGGAAUUUUCUAUUUCUGUUGAACUUCUCUCAAACAUUUUUUUUUCAGACUUGAUUAAGUUAGGAAAUGUGGAUUAUGUUGGGAAUUUUUUAUUUCUGUUCAACUUCUGUCAAACAUUAUGUUGGGAAAUAUGGAUUAUGUUGGA